rnacentral:rRNA from 1 species
AUUGAACGCUGGCGGCAGGCUUAACACAUGCAAGUCGAGCGGAGAGAAGUAGCUUGCUACUGAUCUUAGCGGCGGACGGGUGAGUAAUGCUUAGGAAUCUGCCUAUUAGUGGGGGACAACAUUUCGAAAGGAAUGCUAAUACCGCAUACGUCCUACGGGAGAAAGCAGGGGAUCUUCGGACCUUGCGCUAAUAGAUGAGCCUAAGUCGGAUUAGCUAGUUGGUGGGGUAAAGGCCUACCAAGGCGACGAUCUGUAGCGGGUCUGAGAGGAUGAUCCGCCACACUGGGACUGAGACACGGCCCAGACUCCUACGGGAGGCAGCAGUGGGGAAUAUUGGACAAUGGGCGGAAGCCUGAUCCAGCCAUGCCGCGUGUGUGAAGAAGGCCUUAUGGUUGUAAAGCACUUUAAGCGAGGAGGAGGCUACUUUAGUUAAUACCUAGAGAUAGUAGACGUUACUCGCAGAAUAAGCACCGGCUAACUCUGUGCCAGCAGCCGCGGUAAGAC